rnacentral:lncRNA from 1 species
AUGCUUGUUCAUGUAUUAAAAAUCGUGGUAUUGCUAAUGACAUGAUUUGCUAUAUAUGUAUAAGAAUAAUAUUGGCUAAAUACCUAUACGACCCCUUAAACUUGGCUCAAAUUUUCAUUUAAACACUUCAACUAAGGCCAGUACCUAUUGUAUACUUUAACUUAAUAUAUUAUGUACCUAUUAAACACCUCAUGACAGGUGGCACGAUGUGUUAUUUGCACUUAAGAGUUAGGAGCGUAAACAAGAAAUAUUAUAUUUUUUCUGUUUUCUUCUAGUCAUUUUUUUUUAUUCUUUUUCUUUCUCCUUCAUUUCUCAUCGCUACCUCCAUCCCUGAGUUGAACACAUGCCUACAGUUUCCGGCUGCUGAUAACUGAGAAAAUAUGAAGAAAGGAUCAAGAUUCUUGAAGAAAAGGAAGUCGGCGUCUACGAAUAUGAGUUUAUCAUAUUCCUCCUAAUUUCCCCUAGGGCCUUUCUAUAGAACUUCUAAUUAUAAAAAUAUAAAUCCAUUAAAUGGUUUAAUCAAAUGCAGCUUCCAAUUGUUUUGAUAGCAAGAUAUAAGAAAACUAGCAGGCAUGAAAAACGAUACCAAAACACAAACCCAAAGAUAAAUUGUUCAAAAAAUAGUUUAUUUAAAUUCCAUCCAAAGAUCUGAUGCCUAAAAGAAGUGAAUCAAAUUGGGAUAGCGGAAAAUAAACUCAACAAUUUCAGAAAAUAAUCAAGCAAACUCGAGUAGAUUUUGCAAAAAGAAACCCAGCAAGAAAAGUGCAGUAAUUUCAAACAUCAACUCUAUAAAAUUGAUCCGAUUUUAUACCGAUUAAACUCAACAAGAAAAAUCCAGCAAUUUCAGACAUCAAAAACAUGAAUUAAUUUUGAAGCUACAAACAUGGAGUUCAAUCCAACGAUUUCGCCGGUAUCGAAAUUCUCCGUCUAUAUGUGAAAUUUAACAGCGAAGAUGUACAGCUACAAACAUAGAGAUUUUUCAACCAAGAAGACAACAAUAUGCUUUUUGUUUGGACAUAGCUAGAGAGAGGUAGAAAAAUAUGAAUAGGCAGGGAAGAAGCAGAUAGCUUCAUAAAGGAGAGGGGGAAAGAAAUGGCUGUCCGGAAAAGACGAGUUUCGUAGGUGGGUGGGGAGUAAAGUUUUUAAUAUUUUUUUAAAUAUUUUUCAAUUUGAAUUAUUUAACCUUAAAUAAAGAAAAAAGAAAAUGGACACAACCAUGUGUCACGAUGUUGCACCACAUUAUCUGAAAGUGAACACCACACACUUACCUUUUUACAUUGGGUGAGUGCGAGGUAUUUAAUAUGUACAUAUUGCAUUAAGUUAAAGUGUAUAAUAGGUAUUGGCCUUAGUUAAAGUGUUUAAAUGGAAAUUGGAGUCAAAUUUAAGGGGCGGUAUAUGUAUUUGGCCAAUAAUAUUGAAUAUGGUAUAUAACUAAUACAAGGAGUACUAUUAAUUAUACAUAGACCGCUAAACACUAUCAAAUAAGGAAUUGAUAACACUGAAACUAAUACAUAUAUUAUUUUCCUUAAUACAUUCUAUCAAACGACCCGUAAGUGCAAAGUUCAUAAGGCAGUAAAUAAAUGAGAUUUUACCGUGAUAUAUACACAAUACUAGUAGCUUUUCUUUCCUUAUAAGCAGUGUUAGACGCAAAAUUUUUAAGAAGGGAAUAGAAAAAGAAAUUGCUAAAAAUUAGGGAGAAACCAUUUUUAAUGAAAAUGAUUACACAAUCAAAAAAGAAUAAGGAUGUGCUGGCAGGAAGGAAAAUGUUUUUCGUGGAAAAUGAGUGGUUUUAUCACUUAUUUUUUCUUUUUUGGUUGGUGAGAGAAAAACUUUUUUCGAAAAAUAUUUUCUAGUAUUUGGUUAGAGAGUAUAAAAUACUUUUUAGGAAAAUAAUGUUUUAUGCUAUUAUCCUCACCUCCUUCUCCCAAAUCCCCAAAUAUACAACGUUUUCAGGACUUCAUAUUCUUCAAACAUUUAAUUAUUCUUUUAAAAAUUCACACAAACAAGGAACUAAUAUGCUGCUUUACUUUUUCACGCAAAACAACGUUGAAAUUUGUGCUCCAUAGUCAAAAGAAAAUAAACUUUUUUUGGUUAAAAAAGAAUGUACUUUUUCUACAACAUGAAAAGAAAGUUAUCAUUUUGUUGAAAUGAAAGAAAAAACUUUUUCUAAAUCAUAAAAAAAUAUGCAUUUUGUUGAAAUGAAAGAAAAUAUUUUUUCUACAUCAUGAAAAUAAAUACUCAUUUUGUUAAAAUGAAAGAAAAUAUUUUACUAUAUUAUUUUGUUGAAACGAAAGAAAAUAUUUUUUCUACAUCAUGAAAAAAAAGUAUUUUUUUGUUGAAAUAAAGAAAAUAUUUUUUUUUAAAUCAUAAAAAAAUACCCAUGUUGUUGAAAUGAAAAAGAAAUAAUCUAUCUACAACAAGAAAAUAAAGUAUUCUUAAUAAUAUUUCUUUUUAGGGUAGGAGCCAUGGGUGGGGGCGUGAGAGGCUUGGUGGAGAAUGAAGAAUAAGAUGGAGAAGGUUUAAAAAGAGUUUUGAAAAAUAUUUUUUAUUCGCUUGAUAGGGAAAAUAUUUUUCUCCUAUUGGAGGAAAAUGAAUUCAUGAAAAAAAUAUUUUUUAAAAUAUUUAAACCAACCAAACAUGAGAAAAUUAAAUAAUAUUUUUCGAAAAUUAUUUCCUUCCUUACCAAACACACUCUAAGUAUAUUCUCUAACAUUCUCCUCGUAACCUAAUUUCGCUCUGGUUCCAUAGAAACAGUCUAAACAUAUUUAAAAUCUUAAGAUUAUGAGUGAAGUGAUUAAGGGGUAUUACAAACAUUCUUUUGAAAAUUCUUGCUCAGCCAAAGACUAUUUUCCAACAAAAUUAAUUCACAGCCAAAUGUUCUUUUGGGUCAGACUAGAGCUAGCGUCGAUCCUCGAAUAUAUCUUUUGUCUUGUCAUUUCAUUGCAUGAAAUAUCAGCUAAAGUUUACGUGCAUCGUAAUUUAUUUAUUCAUACAAUGGAGAUUUUCUUACUUCCCAUUCAAAGAAAGGAAUAAAAAGGCACAUUAACAGGGGAGUAAUAUGUACCAUGACAAUUCAAUGAAGUCACUUGCUAGUGCAAAUAGCAAUCAGAAAAGACGAAACGUCAAUCACAAUGUCUAUGUCUACACCCUCCUCUCUUCUCAGUUCUCUGCUCUAUUCUGGAGUCUGGACUCUUGAUUCAUUUACUCCAAUGAAAAAAGUACCAAUAUACGGUGUGAGGAGCGCAAAACACAACACGAAAUUGAUAUUCGCUAUUCACAUAUAGUAUAUAAAUAUAUCGUCUUUACAGGGAUUGAAUUUAAACAAUAUUCGAGUAAUUUCUAAUUUAAUUGCUAUUCAGGAGGAUUAAUACUUGAGUUGGAGUGAUUACUACUACAAUUAACUACUAAAUUAAGACUACUAUUAAUUAAAUGAAUAAUUAAUAGUAAUCUGAGUAUAUCUUUGCUUAAUAUGAUGAAUAAUUUUCAGAAAGAGAAAAAAUCGAACUAAAUCGAAUUUUUUUUCGUUUGUAUUUUUUAAAACAAAAAAUCAAUAGGUCCAUAUCAAAUAAUAGAAAAAUCAAAUGCACGCCCCUAGUCAUCCAAACACCUUCAAACUAAUCCCUCUAUGUUUCAACCAGAUCUACCCCAAACAACUUCCAACAAGCUCAAAAUUAUUCCAUUCAACUUUUGAUUUUUACCCCCAAAAGCUAAUCUAAAAAACAAUAAACAAACUGCUGGGGAGUAGUACCAUCUUUUACCCCCAAAAUUUAAAACUAAAAAACAAUUCAAAACAAAAAAGAUCAGGCAAGAGGUGAUGCCGUACGUCAAAUUGACGGGACAAGGGAAGCAGGCAUUGGAAUCAAUCAGACGUCUAUAAAAGGGUAAAUAAGAGCCAACAAUCACGGCCUGCCGAGCCAUCACAACAUGUACCAAAAUUCAAUACUUACUUUGUUUUGUUUCAUUUGUUUGGGCAUUGCAUUGUCUUAUCACUUAAACAUUAUCCUACCACCGACAGAGAAUUUAUGUAUUGAUACAUGAUUAUCAUUGUAGAAUUUGGCAACUACAUGCACAAACUAUUCGUGCAUGUCGUAUGAUGCAACCAAUAGAAAUCUCAGUAAUUGCUUGGGGCUUAUUCCAACUUUCACGAACUUAAAUAGACAU